UACAGAGGGGGCAAGCGUUGUUCGGAAUUACUGGGCGUAAAGGGCGCGUAGGCGGCCUGUUAAGUCGAACGUGAAAUCCCCGGGCUCAACCCGGGAACUGCGUCCGAUACUGGCAGGCUUGAAUUCGGGAGAGGGAUGUGGAAUUCCAGGUGUAGCGGUGAAAUGCGUAGAUAUCUGGAGGAACACCGGUGGCGAAGGCGGCAUCCUGGACCGAUAUUGACGCUGAGGAGCGAAAGCCAGGGGAGCAAACGGG
rnacentral:rRNA from 1 species